GCCUCUUUAGCUCAGUUGGUAGAGCAAUCGCCUUGUAAGCGAUGGGUCGGCGGUUCGAGUCCGUCAAGUGGCU
rnacentral:tRNA from 1 species